UACGUAGGGACCGAGCGUUGUCCGGAAUCAUUGGGCGUAAAGAGCGUGUAGGCGGCUUGUUAAGUCUUGCGUGAAAUCUCGGGGCUCAACCCCGAGCGGUCGUGAGAAACUGGCAGGCUAGAGUGCGGGAGAGGAGAGUGGAAUUCCUGGUGUAACGGUGAAAUGCGCAGAUAUCAGGAAGAACACCCGUGGCGAAGGCGGCUCUCUGGAACGCAA
rnacentral:rRNA from 1 species